AACUGAAGGUAAUCAAAUCAUAUUGCAAGCAUGAACAUGGUUUCGAAUUCCCCCCCUAGCUAAGGGGGGUUUAGUUCCUCAUACUCACAAAGCAAAGAUAAACAAAUUUAGACAUUGAAAACAAAAGAAUGAAAACACCUAAAAACGCUUCAACAAUCCAACUUGAAUGGCAAGCACGUCCAAGGGUCCUCCUUAUUCUCUUUGUUGCGGCACAAGGUGUGGUUUGAUGGAUGGGUGGUAAAUUAUGGUGGUGGAUGGAUAUAGGUGAGUUAUGGUGAAGGGUGGAUGGGUGGAUUGUGUUCUCUUGGCCAAGGAAUGAAAAUGUAAGUGUAUGGAGUUGUGAGAUGUGAAUGUAGUGUCUUUUGAUGGAUGUUUUCUCCUCCCUUUGUUAUGGUGAAGGGUGGAUGUAUUUAUAGGCUAGGGAGAGGACCACCAUCUAAUUAAGGUGGUAGUGGUGUAUGUGUUGGAAAUGUGCCCUAAAACCAAUCAUGUGAUGAUACUUUACGGACAUUUCACAUGUUAAACGAAUCUAGUUUAAUAUAAAGGGCAAAGAUUAUUGUUUG
rnacentral:lncRNA from 1 species